rnacentral:rRNA from 1 species
GCCAGACUCCUACGGGAGGCAGCAGUGGGGGAUAUUGCACAAUGGGGGAAACCCUGAUGCAGCGACGCCGCGUGGGCGAAGAAGUAUUUCGGUAUGUAAAGCCCUAUCAGCAGGGAAGAAGAAAUGACGGUACCUGACUAAGAAGCCCCGGCUAACUACGUGCCAGCAGCCGCGGUAAUACGUAGGGGGCAAGCGUUAUCCGGAUUUACUGGGUGUAAAGGGGGCGCAGACGGCAGCGCAAGCCAGGAGUGAAAGCCCGGGGCCCAACCCCGGGACUGCUCUUGGAACUGCGCGGCUGGAGUGCAGGAGGGGCAGGCGGAAUUCCUGGUGUAGCGGUGAAAUGCGUAGAUAUCAGGAGGAACACCGGUGGCGAAGGCGGCCUGCUGGACUGCGACUGACGUUGAGGCCCGAAAGCGUGGGGAGCAAACAGGAUUAGAUACCCGUGUA